rnacentral:lncRNA from 1 species
GAGUGAGGGAGAUAUAUACAGAGAGAGGGAGAGAUAUACAGAGAGAGGGAGAGAUAUACAGAUAGAGGAAGAGAGAGAUAUACAGAGAGAGGGAGGAAGAGAUAUACAGAGAGAGGGAUGGAGAGAUAUACAGAGAGAGGGAGGGAGAGAUAUACAGAGGGAGGGAGAGAGAGAUAUACAGAGAGAGGGAGGGAGAGAUAUACAGAGAGAGGGAGGGAGAGAUAUACAGAGAGAGGAAGAGAGAGAUAUACAGAGAGAGGGAGGGAGAGAUAUACAGAAGGAAGGAGGGAGGUAUAUACAGAGAGAGGGAGAUAUAUACAGAGGGAGGGAGAGAUAUACAGAGAGAGGGAGGGAGAGAUAUACAGAGGGAGGGAGAGAUAUACAGAGGGAGGGAGGGAGGGAGGGAGAGAUAUACAGAGGGA